GACUAUAUCAUGGUAAAUACACCAGUUUUCAUUCGAUCACUGCAGUUAAACGACGUCGAUCCUGGUCAAUAUUUAGAUGGGUGACUUCUUGGGAAUACGAGGUUG